GCAAGCAGAUAUGGAAAUUACUAACUCACAGCUGGACAAAAAGGCAAGACAACAGAGAUCACUUUUCUGUACUGAUGUGUAUUCAUUUUCCUCUCUGCAAGAAUCUGGCUUCAGCCCAUCAUAGCUGGCAGUGAUACACAAGAUGAGUUGACAGGAAGGGCAGAAGGCACAACAGAUGAAAGAGGUUAAAAGAAAGAGGAGAAAUUCCACAAAUUUUGGUUCCAAGAAACAAAGAUUUUAUUGGGUCUAAUCGGUGUUCCUUUUGUUGUCAGUUGGAUUUUGCCAAGGAUUUUGGUGGACUGAAAAUAUCUUGUGCUGUAUUUUUUGUUCCUGACAGAUACAGGGAUAAUGGACUAUAGUUUGUUUAGCAACCUUGAUCCUGAGUCUGUAGGGAGACACUCAUGGUCAGGAACUUCUUUCUGUUCGAGUUGGAUUAGGAGACAUCUUGUUAGCUUUUAACGCUGCAAUUUGUAAGCAUAGACACUUUGGUUCUGCACUCCUUUUGAACCAAUUGCCAGAUUUAGCCAACACAUGGUUCCAAUUUUGCCCCACCUCAAA
rnacentral:lncRNA from 1 species